rnacentral:rRNA from 1 species
CAUGUAGGCGGCUUAAUAAGUCGAGCGUGAAAAUGCGGGGCUCAACCCCGUAUGGCGCUGGAAACUGUUAGGCUUGAGUGCAGGAGAGGAAAGGGGAAUUCCCAGUGUAGCGGUGAAAUGCGUAGAUAUUGGGAGGAACACCAGUGGCGAAGGCGCCUUUCUGGACUGUGUCUGACGCUGAGAUGCGAAAGCCAGGGUAGCGAAC